AUUGAACGCUGGCGGCAGGCCUAACACAUGCAAGUCGAACGGUAACAGGAAGAAGCUUGCUUCUUUGCUGACGAGUGGCGGACGGGUGAGUAAUGUCUGGAAACUGCCUGAUGGAGGGGGAUAACUACUGGAAACGGUAGCUAAUACCGCAUAACGUCGCAAGACCAAAGAGGGGGACCUUCGGGCCUCUUGCCAUCGGAUGUGCCCAGAUGGGAUUAGCUAGUAGGUGGGGUAACGGCUCACCUAGGCGACGAUCCCUAGCUGGUCUGAGAGGAUGACCAGCCACACUGGAACUGAGACACGGUCCAGACUCCUACGGGAGGCAGCAGUGGGGAAUAUUGCACAAUGGGCGCAAGCCUGAUGCAGCCAUGCCGCGUGUAUGAAGAAGGCCUUCGGGUUGUAAAGUACUUUCAGCGGGGAGGAAGGGAGUAAAGUUAAUACCUUUGCUCAUUGACGUUACCCGCAGAAGAAGCACCGGCUAACUCCGUG
rnacentral:rRNA from 1 species